GAGGCAGCGGGACUUGGUCGUUGAGUGUCUGUAACUAAAAUCGGACACUCAACCGCAUGAACCACCACUGAAAAUACCGAACGCCUGCUUCCUUUAGUUGCCGAACUGCCAGGAGAGCGCCAUUCGGUAGUUUUGUGCGAACGGACAAGGGAAGAAAUCACUCCUAUGAGCCAGGAGAAUCCAUUCGGUACUUUGUUCGGUUUUUACUUUUUUCUGAAUUGACCGACCGCACACGCUGAAUUCAUGGAACUAUUUUGGGCAGGAGCCUCGUGUGUGGUUGGUAAAAUAUGACUUCCACACUUUUUAAGAACCCCUGAACCGAUC